CCUACGGGAGGCAGCAGUGGGGAAUAUUGCACAAUGGGGGAAACCCUGAUGCAGCGACGCCGCGUGAGUGAAGAAGUAUCUCGGUACGUAAAGCUCUAUCAGCAGGGAAGAUAAUGACGGUACCUGACCAAGAAGCCCCGGCUAACUACGUGCCAGCAGCCGCGGUAAUACGUAGGGGGCAAGCGUUAUCCGGAUUUACUGGGUGUAAAGGGAGCGUAGACGGCGUGCCAAGUCUGGUGUGAAAGGCCGGGGCUCAACCCCGGGACUGCAUUGGAAACUGGCAUGCUGGAGUGCCGGAGGGGCAAGCGGAAUGCCUAGUGUAGCGGUGAAAUGCGUAGAUAUUAGGAGGAACACCGGUGGCGAAGGCGGCUUGCUGGACGGUAACUGACGUUGAGGCUCGAAAGCGUGGGGAGCAAACAGGAUUAGAUACCCGGGUAGUC
rnacentral:rRNA from 1 species